rnacentral:rRNA from 1 species
CAGUAGCCACGGGAAUACAGAGGGUGCGAGCGUUAAUCGGAAUUACUGGGCGUAAAGCGUGCGUAGGUGGUGGUUUAAGUCCGUUGUGAAAGCCCUGGGCUCAACCUGGGAAUUGCAGUGGAUACUGGGUCACUAGAGUGUGGUAAAGGAUAGUGGAAUUUCCGGUGUAGCAGUGAAAUGCGUAGAGAUCGGAAGGAACAUCUGUGGCGAAGGCGACUAUCUGGGCCAACACUGACACUGAGGCACGAAAGCGUGGGGAGCAAACAGGAUUAGAUACCCGGGUAGUCCCUGUCUCUUAUAC